GCGCCCGUGGCCUAAUGGAUAAGUCGUCUGACUUUUAAUCAGGCGAUUGUGGGUUCGAGUCCCACUGGGCGUG
rnacentral:tRNA from 1 species